AACGAACGCUGGCGGCAUGCCUAACACAUGCAAGUCGAACGAGACCUUCGGGUCUAGUGGCGCACGGGUGCGUAACGCGUGGGAAUCUGCCCUUGGGUUCGGAAUAACAGUGAGAAAUUACUGCUAAUACCGGAUGAUGUCUUCGGACCAAAGAUUUAUCGCCCAGGGAUGAGCCCGCGUAGGAUUAGCUAGUUGGUGGGGUAAUGGCCUACCAAGGCGACGAUCCUUAGCUGGUCUGAGAGGAUGAUCAGCCACACUGGGACUGAGACACGGCCCAGACUCCUACGGGAGGCAGCAGUGGGGAAUAUUGGACAAUGGGCGCAAGACUGAUCCAGCAAUGCCGCGUGAGUGAUGAAGGACUUAGGGUUGUAAAGCUCUUUUACCCGGGAUGAUAAUGACAGUACCGGGAGAAUAAGCUCCGGCUAACUCCGUG
rnacentral:rRNA from 1 species